rnacentral:rRNA from 1 species
AAUGCCAGCUGUUCCGGUGCAUGUUACUGUGACGGGCAGUGUGUACAAGACCGCGAACAUAUUCACACCGCGACAUGCUGAUCUGCGAUGCAACAUUCCGACUGCAAUCGGUACGAACUGCAAUCCGGACUACAAUCGGAGACCUCUGGUCGCUCCCCCUCGCGGGUUGGCGACCUCUGUCGACAAAUGCUUCAGCGACGUGUGAAACCCCUACCAUAAGAACCAUGAGACGACAUCAUCCCCACCUUCCUCCGAUUUGUCACCGGCGAUCAUUAGAGUGCCCUUUCGUACCAACUAAUAACCAAGAAAUUUGCCGCAUCGUGCGGGAUUUCGGCAACAUCACGACACGAGCUUUAUUGGCUGCCAUCGCUUUUUGUUCCGGGCCUAUACCGAAGCGCCCUCACAAAUCUCACCACAAGGAUUCCAGACAUAUCAAGGGUGAGUGGAGUUUUUCGCGUUGCAUCGAAUUAAUCCACAUCAUCCACCGCUUGUGCGAGUCCCGUCAAUUCCUGGUUUUAAUCUUGCGACCGUAUCUGAUGAUCGCUUUCCACGCUGAUAGCUGCGCUGAGGCCGAAGACAACGGCUAAUUGACAUCGUUUGGGGCGUGGACUACCGGGGUAUCUAAUCUGUUUGCUCCCACGCUUUCGUGCAUGAGCGUCAGUGUUAUCCCGGAGGCUGCCUUCGCCAUGGUGUUCCUCCGCAUAUCUGCGCAUUUCACUGCUACGCGGAAUUCCACCUCCUCUGACCUCUGGCUCGGUGAUUAAAAUGCAGUUCAGAAGUUAGGCUCACAGGUUCCAUCUUUCUUUCGUGAACCUGCGCAUACCGCCAAUAUUCCCGAUGCGCUUUUACCCACAUGUACGGCUGCUGGCACAUGAGUAGCAAAACCUUAUUCUGCGAAGCACCGUCAGUUGCGAGGUAUCGUGCCGUUUUCUUUAUCAUAAAAGUGCCCAACUUGGCUUCAUCGCACGCCAGGAUGGCGCGGAUCGGGUUUCCACAUUGUCCAUGCCUGCGCCUCCCUUGAGUCUGAGCAUCGGGCAGUGUGGCUGGUCGUCCUCUCCGGCAACUGCGAAUCGUCGCCCUUGUGAGCAUUGCCCCGCAACUGUAUCGUAUCGACACUCUAUCAAUGCGAGGCGAAAGUCCCCACUUUCCCCGAAGAACAUAUACGUAUUGGCUACGCUUUCGCGUAGUUAUCCCCGCUACUGGGCACGUUCCAUUACUCACCCGUUCGCCUCGCCGCAGACGAUCAUUAACGCGUUCGACUUGCAUGUGUGAAGCAUCCGCCGGCAUUCGUCGAACCGGGAUCGAACC